AUUGAACGCUAGCGGGAUGCUUUACACAUGCAAGUCGAACGAGUGGCGGACGGGUGAGUAAUGUAUCGGAACGUGCCCAGUAGAGGGGGAUAACUACUCGACAGAGUGGCUAAUACCGCCUACUAUUGGAGCGGCCGAUAUCGGAUUCGCUAGUUGGUGGGGUAAAGGCUCCCCAAGGCGACGAUCCGUAGCUGGUUUGAGAGGAGGACCAGCCACACUGGGACUGAGACACGGCCCAGACUCCGACGGGAGGCAGCAGUGGGGAAUUUUGGACAAUGGGGGAAACCCUGAUCCAGCCAUCCCGCGUGUAUGAGAAGGCCUUCGGGUUGGAAAGUACUUUUGGCAGAGAAGCGGUAUCUGCAGAAUAAGCACCGGCUAACUACGUGCCAGCAGCCGCGGUAAUUC
rnacentral:rRNA from 1 species